rnacentral:rRNA from 1 species
AUACCUACGGGGCGCAGCAGUGAGGAAUAUUGGUCAAUGGGCGGGAGCCUGAACCAGCCAAGUCGCGUGAGGGAAGACGGUCCUAUGGAUUGUAAACCUCUUUAGGCGGGGAGCAAUGCCAGGCACGUGUGCCCGGAGGGAGAGUACCCGCAGAAUAAGCAUCGGCUAACUCCGUGCCAGCAGCCGCGGUAAUACGGAGGAUGCGAGCGUUAUCCGGAUUUAUUGGGUUUAAAGGGUGCGGAGGCGGAUUUUUAUGUCAGCGGUAAAACGUCCGGGCUCAACCCG